GCCAGGCGUGAUGGCUCAUGCCUGUAAUCCCAGCUACAUGGGAGGCUGAGGUGGAAGAAUUGCUUGAACCUGGGAGAUGGAGGUUGCAGUGAGCCAAGAUCACACUGCUGCACUCCAGCCUAGGUGACAGAGUGAGACUCCAUCUCAA
ensembl:misc_RNA Metazoa_SRP Metazoan signal recognition particle RNA